rfam:Ornithorhynchus anatinus chromosome 4, whole genome shotgun sequence.
UGCAGCGUGGCUCAGUGGAAAGAGCAUGGGCUUGAGACUCAGAGGUCAUGGGUUCAAAUCCCUUCUCUGCCA